AUGCUGUGCACCAGCGCCGCCUUCGUCCUCCACCUCCUCCAAAAGCGCGCGCUCGCCGCGGGCGCUGGCGGUGGCGCGGCGGUCCUCGCCCUUGCGCACCCGUACUCGCACGACGACCGCGCCCUCCGCAAGAUGGUAAGUGCCCCGGCCGCUCACCCGUAUUUCCUCGUCAGCAGGGCCAUCCUCGCGGACCACACGGCAGCGGUGACGCUCUUCGGGCACCCCCGCGGCCGGCCGAGCCUGGCCAUCUAUGAGGACACGCGGGCGCCACCGGCGUUCCUCAUCGAGCUGCCCAUGCUCGCGGCCGGGCUACACAGGGGGAUGGCCACGGGACCUUGA
rnacentral:rRNA from 1 species